rnacentral:tRNA from 1 species
GGUAGUGUGGCGGAGUGGUCUAAGGUGCUGGAUUAAAGGCUCCAGUCUCUCAGGAGCUGGGUUCAAAUCCACCACUGCCA